rnacentral:lncRNA from 1 species
UCCUGAUCUCCACCAUGGCACAACCGCGCAGGGAGGCCAUGGCGGCUAGGUCUAGCCUAAGCCAUCUCCAAGAUAACUCUAAAGACUUGCAGCGGUCCUCAGCUCCCUCUGGUGUAUGCCUUUAGUUUCGUCAAGGUCUGGUGUAUGGAUUCGGGGGCUCAGUGAAUUUUCACGGUAUUUAUAGUCCAGAGGUGCCGUGGCUUAAAUUGGAAGGCGAGGCGGCGAGGAAACACCCCAUGCCGAUCGGCCUAGGAGUGUCUAGGCCGAUCAGCCUGGGCCUUCCUUUCAUCGU